UACUGCAGGACAUCCCUUCGGAACAAAGGACCCACUUUACAGCAGCUGCAGGCCUGAUAGAGCAACGGAGCAGCCUUGGGGAGGCACUGCUGAGGCACCACCUUGGAGAUGAUGCUCAGUGAGAAGGAUCAACAAGACUGUGACUUUCUCAAAAGCUUCCUGAGGACAGGAAGAAGCACCUUCAGAGAAGGAGCCUUAUGAAGUUUCCAACUCAUGAAAGGGUGUUAUUGACAGUCACAGUAAGACGUUUGGAAUCCACAUGUAAACUCUGUGAUGAACAUGGCCCCGCACAGAGGACCUGAGACAUUUUGAGGAGGGCCUUCUACGUUUCUUCUCCCAGCACAUGAGGCAAGUGAACCCCACUAGUGUAGUUCUCUGUCAGUAAGAAAGAGCACAAAGUCCUGUUUCUGAACUAACA
rnacentral:lncRNA from 1 species